rnacentral:rRNA from 1 species
ACUCUGGGGAGACUGCCGGUGAUAAACCGGAGGAAGGUGGGGACGACGUCAAGUCAUCAUGGCCCUUACGGGAUGGGCUACACACGUGCUACAAUGGCGCGUACAAAGGGCAGCGAACCUGCGAGGGUAAGCGAAUCUCAUAAAGCGCGUCGUAGUCCGGAUUGGAGUCUGCAACUCGACUCCAUGAAGUCGGAAUCGCUAGUAAUCGUGGAUCAGAAUGCCACGGUGAAUACGUUCCCGGGCCUUGUACACACCGCCCGUCACACCAUGGGAGUGGGCUGCACCAGAAGUGGUUAGUUUAACCUUCGGGAGAACGAUCACCACGGUGUGGUUCAUGACUGGGGUGAAGUCGUAACAAGGUAGCCGUAGGGGAACCUGCGGCUGGAUCACCUCCUUACA